ensembl:lncRNA
UCAGCCACGACAUCACCUGAGGCUACCGUCGGCUUCCACGUGGAUCAGGGCCGCUGGCCUUCCCGAGGGACCCGACCGGCCGGCAGGGGGCAGUACAUAUCAGAGACCGGCUGGCAGGUGGCAUUAGAGGUCAGAGAUCGGCCGGCAGGUGGCAGUACAAGUCAGAGACCGGCCGGCAGGUGGCAGUAGAGGUGAGAGAUCGGCCGCCAGGUGGCAGUAGAAGUCAGGGACCGGCCGGCAGGUGGCAGUACAAGUCAGAGACCGGCCGGCAGGUGGCAGUAGAGGAGUGCGGGGGGCCGGCGGCGGCGUGGCUACCCGGAUGGUGGUGGGGCUGGUUGCACUGGGCCUCUCACUUUCUCCUCCUCUUUUUCUUAGUUGCAUGUUUUUUGAUUUACAUUGUUUGUUGUGGAUGCGGCGCUGGAGGGAGGGAGGGCCAUGUCCUAGAGUUUGUCCCCCCCCUUUUCCCUUCUUAGCCCGCUGCAGCCUACGGCCCCAAUAGAAUCAAAUUUUCUUUUUAUUCUUUGACGACAUUCCCAGAGCUGACGGGAAUUAUUGAAAUGAAUUGUUUCGUACCUGUUGAUAUUUUAAGAAACUCAAAUAAAUAUUGUGCUCUGGGGGAAUAUUGUUGCUUUGGUCUGUUUACACUGGUGGUCUGUGGGUCCGUGGUGGAUUAAUAUCCCUACGGGACGAUAACCGUACCUACCGGCGGUUACACAUUCAAGCAGAUCGAGUACAGACGUAUGCCGAGUUAUCCUGUUUUUGAGGGGCGGGAUGAGGCUCGACCCUUGUGUUUG